CUGGGCUAACAUCUUGUAAACAGAGCGUAAGGAAUUUAUCUUUCUUAGUUUUAAGUGCAGGAUGGUGUAUCAGUAGUAAUGUAUACAAUAUAGUGGUUUAAGUUUUCUUUCAAAUUCCAUGUUUAAGGUUUCUGGUCUUUAGAACAUUCAAAGAUGCACUAAUUCUUUUUGGGCCUAUUACAUCCUUUUCAUGUGUCUGCUUGUUUAAUAUCUGAUACAUUAAAAUCAGCCUAUGCUUGCAACCAUCACAAUGGCUUUGCUUAUGAAGGACAACUGUUCCUAUAUAAGGGGAAUUUCAUUGCUUUUCCUUACUUAUAUGAAAAACUGUCAUAACUAUUGCAAUAUGUGUAAGUAGCUGUCAAUGAGCUGAGGGGUGUAUAAACUGAUGGCUUUUCUAGGUAACAGAAGAAAUCCACAAAGAAGGGAAUUAACUUCCUGUCUGCCAGAUCUCUUGCUCCUCAGUGACCUAGUGAUGUUGUUUGUGUUUCCCUGGUAAUGGUUAACUGUCUGAGUUGUGAAGAUGAGUACCUUCCUGCUUCUAGAGGAAGCAGAGGCUGUAAGUUGUGGACCCUCGCUUCUGAGCAGUUCCAUUAAUGAUCCUGAUGUGUGUGCAGUCUGUUCAUAAACACAGGAGAAGACAAGUUCACUACAAAAAUGGACCCAUUUGCAUCUCUGUCUCCUGUUAAAGAAUACCCUAUCUGCCAUUGAAAUCAUUGUCAUUGCUUCCAAGGCAAAGUGCUAUUUGAAGUUCUGCUGUAGCUGCUGAGGUUUCUGAGAAUGGAUUAAUUAAUAUAUUCAGUCCAUAAAGGCAAGAUAUCCUUGUCCUUCACUAGAAUUUGUCCCAGCCUCUGAUUGGAACAUAUUGGUUAUGCUGUGCUGUUGCAAAUACUUCAGGUUGUGAGGUGAAUUAAUAAAUGGAUGAUAUUCUGGGAGGCAGAAGGAAGGCACUGGAAAAGCACCUGUAGGAUGGAUCUCACCUUUAAAACUUAAAGCAUCUAAUAAUGAAAUUGACAGUUACGCUGUGUGUUCUGAUGUCUUAAGGGAUUGGUUGUUUUUCAGUUGUUAAAUGCUUCCUUUUUCCAGCUUGUCAAGCAACAUAAAUAUCCCUUACUGCACCCAGAUGGGACCAAUGGGACAAGCUGGAUAUUUUAUCUUUAUUCCUAUUUUGUGACCAGCUUGUGUUUGGUAUCUCAAUUAUCUUCAAGGUUUCACCACCCACUCUUAUUUACACUUAAGUGUGUGGCUGCCCAAGUUCAGCAUAUUGGCAAUGGCACACAAACUUUCUGAGCAGGGCACUUAUCAUUAGAAUCACUUAAACAUCAACCAGAAGCACCAAGACCAGUGAAAAUGCUAUCUCAGGCUGGCAAAUGUGCCACACGUGCUGCCCACAGCAGAGAACCCGCAGAGAGCUGGUGCAGAACCUUUGGGCUGCCUUGGAGAAGGAGUAGUAAGGGAACGUGUGGGAGUGAAACGGAGAGAAUCAAAGUGCCUGAGGGGAUGGAGGGUGAGGAGGAGACUGUGUAACAGCUUGUACAGACUUGUGAGCUUCCGGAAAACUGCCAGCACUGGAGUAUAAUUUUAGGUCCAUUAACAAAACUUCUAAAGAUACUGGGCUUCAGACUGGUAGUCAGAGGUUGGCUGUCUUUAAAAUAAACAGAAAAGUAGGUGGAUUUUUUUUUUUUUUUUUUACUCAGACAAGAGUAUGCUUACGUAAUAAACUGUGGUUGGAGAAGUUGCUGCUACUGUUGCAGAACUGUUCGAUUUUGGAAGGAGUUAUGCCUCAGAUGCACUUUUAUAGGCCUUGCAAUUGAAAAUUUGACUACUGUUGCCUGGAUUGGAUCAAUUCAUUUGCUGAACAAACCUUUACAGACACACUAUUUCAAGUACAGAGCUAUGUGCACACAGACUUUGCUCAGUUAGAAGUAUGAGAACCUUGUCAGAAUGGACAGUAAGUGAUCUAUCUAUUCUGCCAUCAGCCAGGAAAAGACAACCUGGAAGUCUUGGUGAAGCACACAGUUUUAAGGGUAGAGAUGGUUAGGUUUAGUAUUGCAAAGACUUUGAAAGCAGCUUUUCCAGGUUCUUGAGUUUGUCUUGUGAUAAAGAUUGAAAUGUGAGGGGAGUUUAGUGUGUGUGUUUAAAGGUGGAUGUUUUGGCUUGAUGUUGUUUUGUUGUUUUUUGGGUUUUUUUUGUGAUACGUGGAAAUUCCAAAAGCACUUUCAGGUGACACUGGAUCCCUUGAAGUCUAUGUAAGGCCUUUGAUACUGACUCUGUAUUUGUACAUGACAUUGCUGCAGCUCAUGUGGAAUGCAAAGAGAAAAUGUGUCACUCUCAACAAGUGACUUCUCUUCUGGAUUGGUUUGUGAAAUGUAAGCUGAAGGAAGCCUGCCUCUUGCAUGCUCUUCAACACGGCCCUAGUUUUGUAUUUAGAAGCCUUAUGAAGUACCUUUCUACAGGCAGACCCCAGGUUUCAAGGCAAAACUCUUCCUCAGUUAAAGUUUUAACCAUGGCAAGAGCACCAACAUCUUAUGUAAUUUUUCUCUGUAAUAGAGACAGAAGGGUUAGGGGUGGUGAACU